GAAAAAACCCCACCUGAAUUAAUAAUAAAUACAGCAGGCGGGAGCGCGGCGGCGCGCCCUGCCCGGCCGGCGGAGGGCGGGAGGUGUGAGCCCCCCGGGGCAGGGCGGCGGGGGUCGCAGCCCCCCGGGGUGGGCCGGGGGUACCGGCGGGUCCGACGGUGGCGGUGGCGUCACGUGAAAGUCCCCUUUAAGUUUCCAUAGAGAGGCCCUCCGGGUGUCACAUGAUGGACAUGAUAUAAUGAAACAACAUCGUGGGGAGGGAAGCAUUGGGGGAGCCCGGGGAGGCGGCGGCGGCGGGGCGGCGGGGUGUCCCGUCCCCGUCCGUCCCGUCCCCCCCCCCGCCCUGCACCUGUCUCGGUGCCCCGCAGCGAUGCGGUGACCCCCCCCCGCCCCCGCCGCCGGCGCUGCCCGUGGCCACCCUCGUCCCUCCGGGUGGAAAAGGGGGAAAGGCGGCGGAGCAGCCGGCGGAACGACGGGCCGCUCUCUGAGAUUUGUGGUGUAGUGGACCAGUCCAUGCAUUCUGGCAAGCACUGAACUCUCAGUUGAAAGAGCAUGUACACCACCGCAGAGUAGCGAUACCUGGUGAUGGAGGGUAAUGCUGCAGAGGGCACAAGCUGUGCUGGAGAAGGUUUUCACGACCAUUCCGUUACCCCCUUGCCGCAGCCAACGCGGAUCCGAAUGCCGUGGCUACAAAGGCUUGUUACUUUCUCAUGCUGGAUCCCUCAAAUCCAAGAGCUACUUGGCAGUUUCCAAGGCAACCACCUGUGGAAUAAUUAAAAAGGAAGAAGUGUUAGUGUGCCAGAUAUAAGGAAUUCUUGCCUGAAGAGAGCACUUCAUUUUCAUCUGCCUUGAAGAAUCAAAUGUGUUUCUGCCAGCGAAGUUAAGAAGAAGAAAAGGUGACUGAGUUGCACAAGUGAACCAGGACAAUCCAUAAGGUGCUGAUCUCAUGAAAGCCCCCCGCGUAUGCCAAAGGAGGAACAUGUUGUUUGAGGGAAAACCUAUUUAUAAAUAGGUACAACCUGAAAGAUCCCAGAGAGAUGCUACUGCAUAUGCAAGACCACGGUGGGGAUGAAAACUAAAGUUUUUAUAAUGUAAAGACCUGGACAAGAAGCAGUGAGUUUUGUUGUGGGUAACUGUUCAUGUUACCUUUGUUAUCACACCUUAGAAACCAACAGAGAAUUAUGUUGCUCGUUAUGGUUGUCCUGUACGAUUUCUAAAGUAUAACUUCUGCUGCUUUUACCCAGCAAAUUGUGAUGACCUUGGGGGAAAAAAGCCCUGUAUUCCUGCCCCUGUUGACCCAAAGUCUGCUGUUUGACAGAAGAGCAGUCAGCUGCUAUGGUGAUGGGCACAAGAUGGGAACACAGACAGAAAUAGAGGGACGAGGCUGAAGCCGGACUGUUCCUGCUUCCUUACCGUUUCAGUAGCCCUUUCUGAAUUUGGUGAUGACUGAUCUCAAGGGGUUAAUGGGUUAUUUCGCUGUUUUCUGCCUCAAAUUCUCGCAAUUAACUCAAAAUAAUAGGCAAAAAGGAGAGUGAGAUACUCAAAUUGAUAACGUGUGUACAGGACUGCAUAUAAUUCCCUGCAGUGCAGCUUGUGCCUGUUGGGCUUGAAUUUGGAUGCACAGAAAUCUCCCUCCUCCCAUACAAAUUGAAGUCAGUUUUUGGUAAUGCAUAAUUCAUAUAAUGAAGCCUUUGUCACAAAAACAUCUUACUGUUUUUCUCCCAGCUUGAUAAGCCUGCUUUUACAUUUUUAGGAUUUCUGUUUCCUAAUAAUCCGCAAUAGCAGCCUGAAGAGGUUUCAAAACAGAAUUCAGAGUAAAUCUUAGACAAUUUGUACGUCAAGGAUAUUGCUCUACGCAGUAGGUGAUUCUCUGGCACCUGCUAUUUACAGAUCCUUCCUCUGCAAAGAAUUAUUUCCCCGUGGCAUGGGGGCACACUGCUGCCGUGGAGUCAGCGUGUAGGUGGAUGGGAGCUCAAGGUAGUCUGUCCAGAGGUCUGCAGACCGAUUUAGAUACAUCUUAGAAGGAGCGUUUACGCACAUACUUCUGUAUGAAACAGAGACAGCGCUUUCCUUUGAUGAAUUUUGAAGCUCCAAUCGAAAAUUACUCCUUCCAUAGGGAAUAUGAUACCUGUAUUGUAGUGAUGGGGUUCAGUGGUAAACCUUGAUUGCCUGUUCUGACUGUAAAUACACUCACAUAAGUUCAGAUUUUGAGGAGCAGUAACUUGUCUAAAAGCCUGUAUAAGAGGCUGGAGGAAGAGAAGAAUUAUUAUGAGGGUGCCAGAGCAGUGGCAGAGGCUGCCCAGAGAGGCUGUGGGGUCCCUUCCCUGGAGACAUUCACCCCCCGCCUGGACGCGGCCCUGUGCCCCUGCUCUGGGGGUGCCUGCUCCAGCAGGGGGUGGGACGGGGUGAGCUCCAGAGGGCCCUUCCAGCCCCCACCAGUCUGGGAUUAUGUGAUUAUGAAAUUGCAUUUUAGUUUAUCUCUUUGAAGAACAACACAGAGAGGGGACUAAUUCAAACAGCUUCUGGGUUUGUUGGUUUUGGUUUUUUGGUCGGCUUUGGUUUUGGUUGUGGUUUUUUUUCAGAUUCUGAGGACAAACCUGUCAAUAACGAAUUGCUUCAGAAAUAAACGGAGAAAAUUGUACCUGGCAGAGGCUGGUUUUUCUGAGGUAUGGAUGUUUCACUGGUGGGAAGUAGCGGUCUUUAUUCAAGGGCUGCUUGCUUGUUCCAGAGGAAUGUUCCCCAGAUCACUCACUCGGUAGCUCUUCCCAAUACAGCUAACGAAGGCACAGGAAGGGAAGUGAGGCUGAAACUCAUCUCAACUCCUCAUGAGCAGCUGAGCCAGGGAGAUGCGAUUUGAUGCUAUCCAAGGUGUAAUUCCACAGUUCAUGUCUUACGCAGUGCCAUCCUAAUGCGUUUCUGCCUACCCCCAGCCAUUCAUUUCCAGCUCAGCAGCAAUGCAGUGCCAUCUCGUUCCUGACGUUGUGGAAGACCACGCUGAAAAUUUCUCGGUCAAGAAAAGAGACACUUUUUUUUUUCCUCUGAAUUAGAACCAUUUGAGUGAGCUUGUUUAUAGCAUGGCCUGCGGGCAGCUCUGUGGGUACACCUGAAGGUGACGUGACCUGCAGCAUCAGAGGCAGCAGCGAGCGCCAGAGGGUGUCCCAGGGCGAAGUGAACUUGCUGUCAACAGAAAUCUGCUCUGGGACCAUAGCCUGGCUGAAGGGCUUUCACUAGCCACAGUAUUAUUUAUUGAACUGCUGCUUUUCAUUGUUAUUUUAUUUUAUUAAGGAAGAUUAACAUCUUCUUGAUUGGGCAGGUUUUUUUUCUGGAGGAGAUAAACCACCUCUGAGAAGUCAGUCAGCUUUGUGGACAGCCAUGAAUGUCAAUAAAGUCUUGGCAAACACAGUAGGUAUUUAUUCAGCCUUGCAAAUUAAAAACAUUUUUCCUGCCUGUUUAGCGAAGGGAACAAAAAAAGACAAAUUACAUAGCGGAUGAGCUCUCUUGAUAGUUGCAAUUCAUUAAGCUGGUGGUGAAAACGCUGGGGGAUUGAUGGUGCAGAAAAAUAAAAGAUGAAGCAGCUCUUCCCCAGUAGCUAUGGUUUAAGUUCAAGUUGAAAAUGACCGGAAAAAAAACCCAAAAAAAUCCCUUUAAGACAUCUGUAACUGACUUCACAGCCUCAAUUUCUAUCUUGGUAGGCAGUUCUUCCUCACUGCAGUUAGUAUUAAUUGGUUUUUCAGCUGACAGACAAUUUCUCAAUGGUUCCUCGAUCUUCAUCAUGCCACAGGGUAUCUGCAGCAGCUCAUAAAUGAGAUACAUGGCCAAGCGUUAAGUAGGAAGUUCGCACAAUCCCUUCCUAUGCUGUAGCUGUUCCACGAACAGAGGCUUUCUGCAGACUUGUCAAUCUGUCAUCUUUCCUUGGCUCCACAUUUUAUUAAGGAAAAAAAAAAGGUAUUUAAAAAGUUACAAUAAGUUGAGCAGUUUGUCAGACAUAACGUACUCACAGGCUAUUGUCUGCAAAUUACAGGCUGACUCGGUCUUUCAGCCUGUCAUAGCGGGAUCGUAAAGCUGUCAUAAGUAAAGCUGUAAUAAAAUCCAUUUACACAGCUCCUGUUGUGGCAGAGCACGGAAGGGAGGCAGUAAGUCUUACUUUUUACAAAUUUCCUGUACGGGAUCAUUAGUCCAGCUGGAAGUGUCUCCAAGUCGCUCCCAGUAAAUGUUCUCUCUGAUUAUCCCUGGAUUCAUGUGAUAAAGUGCCCACAAUUGUCAUUCGCAGUCAGAGGCGGGUCACAGUUCACAUACUAUUCCGAGUGCUUAACCACAGGAAUUCGUCGCUGGAGGAGAGGGGGUUACCUGAUAGGAGUUCAAAUGCAGCUAAACCACCUGUAAGCCAAAUCACUGGAAUUAUUCAACAGCAAAAUAAAGCCAUCGUAAACACUGAUCUCACAGUGGUGUAAUCGCAGACAAAGCUCCGCUCCUGUAAGUAAUCCCAUCGAUGUCACACAAAGUCCUGUGAAUUCUGAGGUAUUGAAGAUGAGGGCUGAAGUCACUGAUGUGUCGUUCCCGUAAUACUCUGUGGAAUAUUACAGAAUGGUGAUAGUUUGUAAUUACAGAAACAAAAAUGUAAUUGGAAACUCUUCCAUCUAAAAUUUUUACCUAAGUAAAUUCUGGGUUUGCUCUUCCUAUUUCCCAAGCUCUUGCUUUUCUGCUAAGUAGAUACCUAAAUGUAAAGACAUCACUUCCUCUGUUCCUCUUCUUCCUUUCCAGUUAAAUGAGAAAAUUGCUCUCGGCUUUUCUCAUCAUUAAAUCCAGGGAGGACAGAACAGUCCGAGACCUGAAGAUGUUUUAAAACUUACAGGACCUAAUUAGAAGGAGGCAUCUUGCACAAGUACAAUAGCUGUCUGUCUGCAGUUCAUUUGUUUUUCCAAUUUAGAAAUGACAGUUUACAGUCCUAAUGCGAGAGUGUUUCUCAUUAUCUGUGUUCUAGAAACAUGCAGAGUUAUUACAAGUUUCGAAAGAUGCUUUCUUCAGAAAUGCAGAUGAUAUUAAGCAGAGGAGUUUGCUCUCUGGACAGUCGGCUGGAGGUGCUGCAGUCUGUACCUGUCCUAGGGCUAGCGGUGAAGGCAGCAGCUGGACCUCAGCCUCAACUCCCAUGUACGUCACGAAUGCGACUGUACGGGAAGUGAUGCUACAGCACGAUUUAGCCUUGCCUUGUCCAGGGAAGAUAAUGGCUGUGAAAUGUCAUUGCUUUCCUUGCUGCACAGAUGGCUCUCAGGUUUCUUGGACAUUGCCAUGAAGAUUUUCUUGGAGAGGAGUGUGUUAGCUAUGCUGUUGACAGAUACCCUCGUGGGAACUGUCCACACUAAUUUGAGAUUCCUCUCCUCUAUCUUCAGCCAUCUAGAAGUUAGGUUUCUAGUCUAAGCUAGUUGUUUUUGUUGUCAGUGUGGUGAAUGAAGGGAGAGAUGUAUUUCUGGAGAUUGUGAAACCUUAGAAACAGAUGUAAUUAGAUAGGGGUUUUUACAUGGUUUGCUGACCCCGAAGAGGAGUAGUUCAAGAAUAUUAGGCUGUCCUCAGGAGACCACAGACAGGUUCAUCUCAGAUGAUGGUUGUAAUCAACUAAAAUCCACUUCCACAGGACUUUCAGAGGCAGGUACAAUGCACGCUGGGUGUAUUAAACUGCAGGAGGGAAAAAGUAAGGUGCUUCGCUCUUCCUGAAUGCACUACAGGAAGGGAAAGUUUGAGGCUUUUGCAUGGCUUGAGGAAACAGUUCUGUGCUGCCCACACUUUAAAGCUGCUUUAUUUUAACUGUGCCUAAAGCACUAGCGUUUCUUUUGCCCGCGUGGAAGAUUCCCAGAGAGCUGUGCGCUUAGGGCAGAGCCCCGGGAGAUGGGCACGAGCACAGCUCAGUCCUGCUGCUCCUGGCCAAGCUGCUUCCUGACUGCUCUGCUCCACACAGACGCUUUCUGGACAGAUGAGCUGCAUAAUGAAUCCAACGCUGAUGUGGCCUGGCAUAGUUAUAGCUCUUCCAGUAACUGAAGCAACUGCCUGCUUUCAGAAGCCCAGCCUACUCCGUUUGGUUGUUUCCCUUAUAACAAUGUUGGUUUACAGCCGCAUGGGGCACGCGGUGUCGUGCCUCCCUUCUGCCCUGCCGUCGAAACACACCGCGCCUGUUGUGCCAGCGCUGCUGCUUUGGGUAAUUUGUUCCUUGCGGAGAGGCUGUGAUGUACCCAUCGAGUACUUCCCAGAACGUGUCACCGAGAGCGUGGCUGAGCCUCGUAAUCUGUGCAAACACUCAAACUUGCUUGACGUUAUUCUGCAGAUGUGAUUUGGAUACGUUCGUUCUGCCAGCUGAGAUGAGAAGUUGCAGACAGGUUAUAAAAAAAUACAUCUGUUUAAAGGGAAUAAAGUGUCUAGAAUACACUUCAGUAGCAGACUUCCAGGAAAAAACCCUGUGUCAGACUUCUUAGAAGUAGUGCUGGGACCAGGUGGUAAGUGCCAGAUCUGAACAGUCUGUAAUUAAUGCAAUCCGUAAUGUUAGGUUUGGGCGCCCACCUUUUCUCUAAUGCUGCAAAUACAACCUCAUAGAGAGCUGGGCUGGUUUUCAAACUAUCUGUGUGACCUUUUGAAUGAAUAUUCAGCAUUUAGGCAUUAAUAUGUAGCUUCUGUCACACGCUGGUACUUCUGCUGCUGCUGUUAAAAAUAACAUAUGUUAACAUCUUGCAGGAGACCUAUCACAUGUUGUGUUGCUGUCACUAGAGGGAGUUCGCAGCAGUGCUUUCCUCACGGAUUUGUUUGGUGGAAGUCGUGCUGUGGGCAGACCUCAGCAGACACAAUGUGUUAACAGAAGACAGUAACAAAAGUAGGAAGGUCCUUCUUCCCUGGUUAAACCCUUAUUACAUGUUGUCCAAGCUUGACUAACAAAAUUCUUCAGGGUGACACUGCUGUAAGCAAUUCUCUUUCUGUUGGUAGCACUAUAAUAGAAACCAGAAGUGAACGUUUGGUGACUGAAACAAAAAUCAAGGGUAAGAAUAAGAAAAAAGCAUCAACUAUUUAAUAGGGAAAAUAAAGGUGAAAACCCAACAUGGAUAGGUACUCUUCUGUGGCGUUUCCAAUUUAUUUUUACAGGAGUAUCU